rnacentral:tRNA from 1 species
GCCUGGUUGGCUCAGUCAGCAGAGCAUGUGACUCAUGAUCUUGGGGUGGUGGGUUCGAGCCCCAUGUUGGGUG